GUAAAAUUAGUUUAAAUUAAAAUAGUAAAUUGUGGUUUUACAGAUAUUUAUAAAUAAUAUUAUUUUACU
rnacentral:tRNA from 1 species